GUGAGAAGUUGGAAAGCAGGGAGUGCGUGGAAAUUUCGAUUGAAGAGACGAAGAGAAGCGAAGGCCCCUUUUCCUUUCGUUUGGCCUUGUUGCGCAAGUCAAGAAUUUGUUUUUGUUAUUUUCCCCUGAACCCCUUUUCUGAGCAUAACAUAAACCCUCGAAUUGGAAGUGAUGGUGGCGAAAUCAGGCGAGAAUGGCUGUGUGGCUCCGUUCCUUCAGAAGUGCUACGAUAUGGUCUCCGACCCUUCCACCGACUCCGUCAUCUCUUGGACCCAUCAAGGCCACACCUUCCUCAUCUCCGAUAUCACCCAAUUCUCCCUCACUCUUCUCCCCAAUUACUUCAAGCACAACAACUUCUCCAGCUUCAUCCGCCAGCUCAACAUCUACGGCUUCAGGAAAAUUGAUACGGACCGCUGGGAAUUCGCCAAUGACAACUUUGUGAAGGGUCAAAAGCAUUUGUUGAUCAAUAUUCGGAGAAGGAAACAUCCGCACGCUGCAGAUCAUCAAAAGCCAGACAAUUCUGAUGAAGCACCAGCAAAUGAUGGGCUUUGGAAGGAAGUGGAGAAUCUAAAAUCCAACAAGAAUUCCCUCAUGCAGGAGUUGGUUAAACUCAGGCAGCAUCAAGAAUCUGCCGAGAAUAAGCUGCUACUCCUCACUGAUCGCCUUCAAGGAAUGGAGAAGCAUCAGCAGCAGAUGCUAUCAUUCUUGGUCAUGGUUGUUCAAAGUCCCGGCUUCAUGGUUCAACUCCUUCAGCCUAACGAAAACAAUUGGCGAAUGGCCGAACUUGGAGAUGGGAAUGGGAUGAUAGUAAAGUAUAAACCUCCGGUGCCCGAAAAUCUCAAGCCUGUAGUUCCCCGAUCACCCACUUUCGAGAAGCAACCGGAACCUGAGCUUUCUUUCGAUGGUUUAAAAGACUUGUGCAUCAGUUCUGAGUUCUUGAAAGUUCUUAUGGAUGAGAAGUUGUCUCCUUUGGAAAAUCAUCCUCCAUUUCUUCUUCCGGAUUUACCCGAUGAUGGUUCAUGGGAGCAACUUUUUCUUGGCAGUCCUUUCUUGCAAAACACUGAUGAAGCUGACAAGCCCACUGUCAGCGGAAUGGAGAUAGAACCCAUCACACCCGAAGAUCAAACUGAAAAGUCUCAGUCUUUUGAAUCUUUGAUUCUAGAAAUGGAGAAAACUGAAGAGACCGAUGCAUUGGAAUUACGAGCUGAUGGAGUUCAUUUGGAGGGGUCGGAGAAACUGAAAUCUCUAACCAAGCAAAUGGAACUUCUGGCUUCUGAAACUGACAAUGAAGAGGAGGAGGAAGAGGAAGGAAGGAACUGAUAAUAAUGCUGGAGGGAUAUUUUUCAGUUGGAUUAUCUUCAUUGAGUACCUUAUACUAUAUAGAUAUAGCAUUUAAGUUUUUUUUUGCUUCCAUCUUCUACCUCCAACCUUUGUUAGAUCCGCAUCCAAAAUUAUAGUUGAUGCGUUAAGGAGAUAAACUCAACCCUGGCCUCUGAAGGGGUAUUCUUUUCAAGUCUUCCAUAGGAUUCGGCUAAAAUAUAAUGAAACAAAAAGAAAAGAGGUCUGUGCUCACUGCUCAGUGACUCCUAUAGGAUUAGGCUAAUCGCUCCUAUAGUGUCUACCUCAACUGACAUGGAAGAUGCCUUAAAGAUCGAUGCAUUAUGAAGAAAUAUGUUAUUGCCAAA